GGGGGCGUAAUUUAAUGGUAGAAUGCCGUUCUCCAAAAGCGGAUGCGUAGGUUCGAUUCCUACCGCCCCUG
rnacentral:tRNA from 1 species